UUUCUAUGCCAGGAUACAGGAAAAAAAGAUUAUUUAUGAAAUUCAGCAUUACAUUACAUAUCCUGGUAUUACUUUGGGGAAUCAUCUAUUUUAUUCCAGAUUUCAGCAAUUUAUAGAGAUGACAAAGAAGAUAAAGGAAAGCUUUAGAUGCAAAUAGCUACAUGUGUUUAAUGAGGACAUUAGCCCCACUGUGAGAUACCAGGAGGAUUUCACACAAUCUGCCUUCAGUCUUUGGAAUCAGGAGGAACCCGAACAUGGAUUUGACAUGUAUCAGGAGAUUCUGGAUUAUAGCUCUUCUGUGGACCCAAGAAUCAGAUCAACAAAUUAUGGAAUAAUUUCUUUUCUUAUGGAUAUGCUGUGUUUGACCAAAAUAGGGGAAAGUUCUUUGAGUUACACAGCUUGCUUUCCACUCCUGCAAGAUGAAAGAAAAGCUAAAUGGACUGGUAAACAUGGAUAA
rnacentral:lncRNA from 1 species